rnacentral:rRNA from 1 species
AUUGAACGCUGGCGGCAGGCCUAACACAUGUAAGUCGAGCGGAGCGGCGGACGGGUGAGUAAUGCCUAGGAAUAUGCCUGGUAGUGGGGGAUAAAGUACGGAAACGGGCGCUAAUACCGCAUACUAUCAGGUGAGCCUAGGGCGGAUUAGCUAGUUGGGGGGGUAAAGGCCUACCAAGGCGACGAUCCGUAACUGGUCUGAGAGGAUGAUCAGUCACACGGUAACUGAGACACGGUCCAGACUCCUACGGGACGCAGCAGUGGGGAAUAUUGCACCAUGGGCGCAAGCCUGAUGCAGCCAUGCCGCGUGUGUGAAGAAGGCCUUCGGGUUGUAAAGCACUUUCAGCGGGGAGGCGUUACCCGCAGAAGAAGCACCGGCUAACUCCGUGCCAGCAGCCGCGGUAAUUC